AGAUAAAUGACCGAGUGGCUGAAGGUGUUAGUUUUGAAAACUAAUGUGUUUUGUUAAGCACCGCGGGUUCGAAUCCCGCUUUAUCUG
rnacentral:tRNA from 1 species